rnacentral:rRNA from 1 species
AGCGAACGCUGCCGGCAGGCCUAACACAUGCAAGUCGAACGGACCCUUCGGGGUUAGUGGCGGACGGGUGAGUAACACGUGGGAACGUGCCUUUAGGUUCGGAAUAGCUCCUGGAAACGGGUGGUAAUGCCGAAUGUGCCCUUCGGGGGAAAGAUUUAUCGCCUUUAGAGCGGCCCGCGUCUGAUUAGCUAGUUGGUGAGGUAAUGGCUCACCAAGGCGACGAUCAGUAGCUGGUCUGAGAGGAUGACCAGCCACAUUGGGACUGAGACACGGCUCAAACUCCUACGGGAGGCAGCAGUGGGGAAGCUUGCGCAAUGGGCGAAAGCCUGACGCAGCCAUGCCGCGUGGAUGAUGAAGGUCUUAGGAUUGUAAAAUCCUUUCACCGGUGAAGAUAAUGACUGUAGCCGGAGAAGAAGCCCCGGCUAACUUCGUGCCAGCCGCCGCGGUAA